CUUCUCCUGGUGUAGUUGGCAACGCGCCUGUCUAGUGAGUAGGAGUCGUGAGUUCGAGUCUCACCGAGAGGA
rnacentral:tRNA from 1 species